AUUGAACGCUGGCGGCAGGCCUAACACAUGCAAGUCGAACGAGUGGCGGACGGGUGAGUAAUGUCUGGGAAACUGCCUGAUGGAGGGGGAUAACUACUGGAAACGGUAGCUAAUACCGCAUACCAUCGGAUGUGCACAGCUGGGAUUAGCUAGUAGGUGGGGUAACGGCUCACCUAGGCGACGAUCCCUAGCUGGUCUGCGAGGAUGACAGGCAACACGGGAACUGAGACACGGUCCAGACUCCUAAGGUGGGCAGCAGUGGGGAAUAUUGCACAAUGGGCGAAAGCCUGAUACAGCCAUGCCGCGUGUAUGAAGAAGGCCUUCGGGUUGUAAAGUACUUUCAGCGGGGAGGCGUUACCCGCAGAAGAAGCACCGGCUAACUCCGUGCCAGCCGCCGCGGUAAUAC
rnacentral:rRNA from 1 species